rnacentral:rRNA from 1 species
AUUGAACGCUGGCGGCAUGCUUUACACAUGCAAGUCGAACGGUAACAGGCCGCAAGGUGCUGACGAGUGGCGCACGGGUGAGUAAUGCAUCGGAACGUGCCCAGUCGUUGGGGAUAACUACUCGAAAGAGUAGCUAAUACCGCAUACGAUCUAUGGAUGAAAGCGGGGGACCGUAAGGCCUCGCGCGAUUGGAGCGGCCGAUGUCAGAUUAGGUAGUUGGUGGGGUAAAGGCUCACCAAGCCAACGAUCUGUAGCUGGUCUGAGAGGACGACCAGCCACACUGGGACUGAGACACGGCCCAGACUCCUACGGGAGGCAGCAGUGGGGAAUUUUGGACAAUGGGCGCAAGCCUGAUCCAGCAAUGCCGCGUGCAGGAAGAAGGCCUUCGGGUUGUAAACUGCUUUUGUACGGAACGAAACGGCUCUGGUUAAUACCCGGGGCUAAUGACGGUACCGUAAGAAUAAGCACCGGCUAACUACGUG